rnacentral:piRNA from 1 species
UGGCUUUCUAACAGACAGGUCCCAG